AGAACGAACGCUGGCGGCGCGCUUAACACAUGCAAGUCGAACGAGAAGGCGUAGCAAUACGCUUGUAAAGUGGCGAACGGGUGAGGAAUACAUGGGUAACCUACCCUCGAGUGGGGGAUAACCCGCCGAAAGGCGGGCUAAUACCGCGUACGCUUCCGAUCUUGCGGGAUCGGAAGGAAAGCUGUCCCUUGGGGAUGGCGCUCAAGGAUGGGCUCAUGUCCUAUCAGCUUGUUGGUAGGGUAACGGCCUACCAAGGCAUCGACGGGUAGCUGGUCUGAGAGGACGAUCAGCCACACUGGCACUGCGACACGGGCCAGACUCCUACGGGAGGCAGCAGUGAGGAAUCUUGCGCAAUGGGCGAAAGCCUGACGCAGCGACGCCGCGUGGGGGAUGGAAGGUCUUCGGAUUGUAAACCCCUUUCGGGUGGAAGACGGCCCUAGACAACUAGGGCGACGGUACCACCAGAAGCAGCCACGCUAACUCGUGCCAGCAGCCGC
rnacentral:rRNA from 1 species